rnacentral:rRNA from 1 species
GACGUAGGGCGCAAGCGUUUGUCCGGAUUUAUUGGGCGUAAAGAGCUCGUAGGCGGCCUGUCGCGUCGACCGUGAAAACCCGCAGCUCAACUGCGGGCUUGCGGUCGAUACGGGCAGGCUGGAGUUCGGUAGGGGAGACUGGAAUUCCUGGUGUAGCGGUGAAAUGCGCAGAUAUCAGGAGGAACACCGGUGGCGAAGGCGGGUCUCUGGGCCGAUACUGACGCUGAGGAGCGAAAGCGUGGGGAGCGAACAGGAUUAGAAACCCCGAGAC